AAUGGAUUUAGGGCUGUGCAGAAUGUGCUUUGUUAAACAAGUGCUUGAAGGCAGUAUGCUUGGUAAAAGUCAUCGCCAUUCUCUAAUCUUGAGUACCCAGGGACACGAUACACUGCGGAAGGCUGCAGGGACCUCUGCCCAGGAAAGCCAGGUGGUUUCCAAAAGGAAAAGCUUUGGGAGAUAGAAGUCCUCGUUUUGACCUCUGCCCUCCUUGUACACCAGGAGCCAGAAAAACUUCAUCUCUUUUACAAGAAACAUUGAGAUUCCUGUAAAAUUAAGAAAUCACACAAUUUGAUGGUCUACAUUAUCUAAAGCAAAUGAGACUUCUAUUUGGAACAAAGACUACCUUGUUGGGAAAUGAGUCUGCAAGUUAAAGUGUUUUCUGGAUCCAGUAUCUGCCGGAGGAGCCCCACCUUCUGCUACUAUUAUGUUCUUCAGAUGAGUAGAAGAGAGUGGGGAGGGAGAGAGCAGGAAGAAGAAAGGAAGAAUAAUGUCUUGAAAUUGAUGAUGCAUAUCAUAAAUUAUUACUCACCCCAUGUUCCCACCCUCGAGAGACCUCCAAACAAUCACCAUGCCACAGUGAACAUUCAGUAACAAAAAUUCAGCCAGGGUUUUCACCAGCAUGAAUGGCAGUGAUUCCAAUCAGGAAAACAGAAAGAGGAGAGUUCAGAGCCACCUAGAAUGGCUCUUGCAAGAUACGAAAUCAAGGCAGCAGCAACAGGGCUGAACAUUCCUCAUCCCUAACUCUCCCUUCACCAGUAGGAAACCCAGGAUAACUGCAAUCACCGCAGGCCCAUCUGGCCUGAAGUUCUACUACUAGUAGCCCUCCAUGGGACCUUCUUAAGGAAGCAUGUCAACUCAGGUAAGGGAUGUAAGGGGAUGGAUGACCCUUUGAGGCCAAAGUUGGAGCAAAAAACACCAGAUGUUCCUGUGCACUGCUCCUAAGAGAUGGUUCUGAAGACCAGUUCGGGGAGAGGUCAAAAUACUGGACAGAAUCUCAGCAACAUGGAACCUCAAACUAAGUGACAGUCACAGACAACUCUUCCCCAAAGAAAAUAAGCACAGACAUGGUUUGUGGUAAGCAGAAUUAUAAAGAUGAAUUCCCAUCUCCCUGUCAGAUUACCAGUAUGGUAAAUUACCAGAUUACCUGGUUAUUUAUUCAAACACUAAUACAGUUAUUGCCUUGAUGGAAACAUACAGAUACAAUUAAAAUCCCAAGUACCAAAUAAAUUGACCUUAAGACAAAGACUAAGUAAAUCACAUGAGCCCUCUACAAGCAGAGAGUUUUUCUCCAGCUGGUAGCAGAAGCCAGAGAUUUGAAGCAUAGGAAGUAUUCAACACAUUAUUGCUGGCCUGAAAAUGGAAGGGGCCACAUAACGAGGGAAACCGGUGGCCUCUAGAAGCAGGGAGCAGUCCCCUGCUGACAGACAGCAAGCCAAGACCUCAGUUCUACAAUUGCAAGACACUCAAUUCUGCUAAGGACAAAAAUGAGCUUGGAAGUGAACUCUGAGCUUCAGGUGAGAACACGGCCAAACAACACCUUGAUUUCAGCUUAAACAAAGAAUGCAGCCACUCCAUGCCAGAAUUCUGACCUGUAGAAAUUUGAGCUAAUAAAUAGAUGUUUUAAUAGCUUCAUCGA
ensembl:lncRNA HISLA HIF1A stabilizing long noncoding RNA